AUUGACUCCAAUGCCAUCCUCCCCGUGAGAAUUCCACCGUGAAUAACCAGGCACAAAUCCCCGCAUGAGCAAGUGCAUCUCGACAUCCUUUGGCUUGUACAGCUUGCUGUUCUGACAUCUCACACAGGGACAACACAUCUUAUCACCUCCCUUUCUAUGCAUAUCUUCCACGCCGGCAUCGACAAAAGUCUUCAGCCGCUCUAUCCACUCAACAAAUAACCUGUCCUCGUACAUCCAAGCACGGCCCAUCGAGCUACAACACAAUUAAAAAAAAUAAACGAAUCAGCU
rnacentral:lncRNA from 1 species